rnacentral:rRNA from 1 species
UACGUAGGGGGCUAGCGUUGUCCGGAAUCAUUGGGCGUAAAGAGCGUGUAGGCGGUCCGGUAAGUCCGCUGUGAAAGUCGGGGGCUCAACCCUCGAAUGCCGGUGGAUACUGUCGGGCUAGAGUGCGGAAGAGGCGAGUGGAAUUCCUGGUGUAGUGGUGGAAUGCGUAGAUAUCGGGAGGAACACCAGUGGCGAAGGCGGCUUCCUGGACCGGUUCUGACACUGAGGAGCGAAAGCGUGGGGAGCGAUCCGG